rnacentral:rRNA from 1 species
AGAGUUUGAUCCUGGCUCAGGACGAACGCUGGCGGCGCGCCUAACACAUGCAAGUCGAACGGAGUCAAGAGGAGCUUGCUUUUCUUGACUUAGUGGCGAACGGGUGAGUAACGCGUGAGUAACCUGCCCUGGAGUGGGGGACAACAGUUGGAAACGACUGCUAAUACCGCAUAAGCCCACGGUCCGGCAUCGGGCUGAGGGAAAAGGAUUUAUUCGCUUCAGGAUGGACUCGCGUCCAAUUAGCUAGUUGGUGAGGUAACGGCCCACCAAGGCGACGAUUGGUAGCCGGACUGAGAGGUUGAACGGCCACAUUGGGACUGAGACACGGCCCAGACUCCUACGGGAGGCAGCAGUGGGGGAUAUUGCACAAUGGGGGAAACCCUGAUGCAGCGACGCCGCGUGGAGGAAGAAGGUUUUCGGAUUGUAAACUCCUGUCGUUAGGGACGAUAAUGACGGUACCUAACAAGAAAGCACCGGCUAACUACGUGCCAGCAGCCGCGGUAAAACGUAGGGUGCAAGCGUUGUCCGGAAUUACUGGGUGUAAAGGGAGCGCAGGCGGACCGGCAAGUUGGAAGUGAAAACUAUGGGCUCAACCCAUAAAUUGCUUUCAAAACUGCUGGCCUUGAGUAGUGCAGAGGUAGGUGGAAUUCCCGGUGUAGCGGUGGAAUGCGUAGAUAUCGGGAGGAACACCAGUGGCGAAGGCGACCUACUGGGCACCAACUGACGCUGAGGCUCGAAAGCAUGGGUAGCAAACAGGAUUAGAUACCCUGGUAGUCCAUGCCGUAAACGAUGAUUACUAGGUGUUGGAGGAUUGACCCCUUCAGUGCCGCAGUUAACACAAUAAGUAAUCCACCUGGGGAGUACGACCGCAAGGUUGAAACUCAAAGGAAUUGACGGGGGCCC